rnacentral:rRNA from 1 species
UGUGAACCUCCUUGUCAAAGCCUGAUGUCAUCAGAUCUCAGAAACUAAACAAAGCAGGGCCUGGUUAAUACUUGGAUGAGAGACUGCUGGGAUUUCAAGGGGCCACAA